CUAGAAUUUUAUAAGAAUUUAAUUCGAUUGAUUUCUUUUGUCAAUUCUAUCGUAAAUAAGGUGGGUUUAGUUGUAUAGUGAUUAUUGAAUACAAAAUUAGUGCCCAGUUUCUAGUAGAAUUCUCAAAAAUUAAACAAAUGGUCAGCUGUAUUUAGCAAUGAUUAUGUUCCCUAUUCCUACAGAAACCAACAGAAAAAUGAUUUAAUUAAUGUGGCCAUUAUGGUCAAGAAGGAUAGAAACUUUUCAGUUCCUUGCAAGAAAACCCUAAUAGAAUAAAUCCAUCAUUGCAGGGCAUACAAAGAAAGCACAACAUAUCAUUGAUCCAGAUAAAUAAUCUCAGAAAAAACAAAAAAAGCUUUCCAAUGUCAACAGCAAAGGGAAAAAGACUGAAUGAUAUUUGAUCUGCAACAUUUUCCACAAACGCAUCCUAGAAAAAGAAGAAUCAAGAUCAUAAAUCAUCUGGAGGACAAAGAGAAUCUAGUAAACCCAAGACAGAAAAUUUGGGGAAGAAUUAUGCAAAAAAUACCAUGAACAUUGAAACAGAAUCAAGUUACAGCAAAAAAGGUACCUAUUAUCCUUAAAAUCCCUGGAACGUGCCUUCUUUCCUUUACUCCUGUAUCAUGCACAAAUAGCAGAACUUUCGAAACACUGAUGCAGCCCAAAACAAGAAACAGGACCCGUAUAUGAAGUGCGAUGGCGAGAAACGGAGAAAGAGAAACAGAGAUACAGAGUUAGAACGAAGUGGCUGCCUUGCGUCCUGCCACAGCAGUUACAUGAAGCAGUCUAGCUUUUGC
rnacentral:misc_RNA from 1 species